AUGCAGUCGGAGUUAGCAACGUUUUGUAGCUUGCCGGCUAAUGACAGGCUAACUAAGCGGCUGAUGGAGGUGAAGCUGUGUGAACUGGGCUCCUGGAUGGGCAAGAGGGACUUCACUCCUAACGGACUCCUCGCCAGCAUCCGCAAUGGCCAUGACAGAUAUUACAACAAGUACAUCAACGUGAAGAAGGGAGGUAUCGGAGGCGUGGCCAUGCUGCUGGUUGGAUACGUGGCCCUCAGUUACCUCUGGGAGUACGACCACCUCAGUGAGUACUAACCCUGGUGGGAGUACGACCACCUCAGUGAGUACUAACCCUGGGGGAGUACGACCACCUCAGUGAGUACUAACCCUGGGGGAGUACGACCACCUCAGUGAGUACUAACCCUAACCCUCUGGGAGUACGACCACCUCAGUGAGUACUAACCCUAACCCUCUGGGAGUACGACCACCUCAGUGAGUACUAACCCUGGUGGGAGUACGACCACCUCAAGCACGACCGCUGGAGGAAGUACCACUAAGCCCCUCCUCUCCUGACCCAGCAGGGCAGAGCCCUGACCUCUGACCCCCUGGCUCCAGCUGUCUGUAUUAUACCACCGAUGUGACCAAUAAUAAAAUAUAACUACUUCUAAUAUUUACA
rnacentral:lncRNA from 1 species